UGGGGAAUAUUGCACAAUGGGGGAAACCCUGAUGCAGCGACGCCGCGUGAGCGAAGAAGGCCUUCGGGUCGUAAAGCUCUUUUAUGAGGGAAGAUAAUGACGGUACCUCAAGAAAAAGCCCCGGCUAACUACGUGCCAGCAGCCGCGGUAAUACGUAGGGGGCUAGCGUUGUCCGGAAUCACUGGGCGUAAAGGGUUCGCAGGCGGAAUAACAAGUCAGAUGUGAAAGGCAUGGGCUCAACCCAUGUAAGCAUUUGAAACUGUAAUUCUUGAGAAGUGGAGAGGUAAGUGGAAUUCCUAGUGUAGCGGUGAAAUGCGUAGAUAUUAGGAGGAAGACCUGUGGCGAAGGCGACUUACUGGACACAAAUCUGACGCUGAGGAACGAAAGCGUGGGUAGCAAACAGG
rnacentral:rRNA from 1 species